rnacentral:lncRNA from 13 species
AUGGAAUUCACUUCUGUUACAUUGUCCUUACCACAGUGGCUCAGGAGGAGGAAUCUGAGACGAAGGCAGCAGGAGGAUCCACCCAGCGCCAGCGGACCAACCAUGACCUCCAACACUGACAAUCGUCAAGACGGCCCAGGUCCAGUUCUCUCCAGGAUAUCAGCGAGCACCUCUGAGGAGGAUGUUCUCUGUCCUACUCCACCUCUCCCCCCAGGACCUGAUUCUCAGUAUGAGAGAAUCGGAGGCCAAACAGGGGCUUCGUAAGUAAUGGUUAUGUUACAUGCAAAGAUGUAUUUUUUUAAAUUCCAGAUCUUGGUCGUUACAAAGCNNNNNNNNNNUGUAUGGUCAUUUUUGUUUUGUGUUUAGAUGGUCAUUGAAUUCUGGGCCCAUUAUUCAGUUUAGCCUUUUAGACCAUAAUGAUUCAGAUUCCAUGGACAGGGUAGACCUGAUCCCAGCUCAGGUUCCAUGGACAGGGUAGACCUGAUCCCAGCUCAGGUUCCAUGGACAGGGUAGACCUGAUCCCAGCUCAGGUUCCAUGGACAGGGUAGACCUGAUCCCAGCUCAGGUUCCAUGGACAGGGUAGACCUGAUCCCAGCUCAGGUUCCAUGGACAGGGUAGACCUGAUCCCAUGUCAGCACUUUUACCCUGAGUGAUGGUCCCUCUGUUCUAGGUUGAACAAGCCCUUUCUGGACUAUGGCGAUGCUGUGCAGUAUGGUAUGGAGAAUGUCUCGUGGCUGAGAAGGCACUCAAUAUGGGGGAGGUAAAUAUAGAACGCGUCUACAGUAGCAUGCGUCUACAGUAGCAUGCGUCUACAGUAGCAUGCGUCUACAGUAGCAUGCGUCUACAGGAAGGUGAUAAUCAUGAAAUGUAUUCUUUAAUAACAAGUCAAACUCCCUUUAUUCUUAUAUAUUAUGACUUGUGAUUAGACCUUUAUUCAAUAAGAGUUCAAUUCAGUAAACACUCCUCAGUGUUUGGGGUGGGGGGUCCCUUCUAAUGUGUAGGACAGAGGUUGAUUUGGGUCCUUUAAUAUCUUGUGUUUUCAGUCCCCUCUGUGUAGAACGGAGGUUGAUUUGGGUCCUUUCUUCCUGUUUUCCUUCAGGCGGAUAGUGAACGUGUUUUUGAUCAUCACCCAGCUGGGUUUCUGCUGUGUCUACUUCGUCUUCCUCAGUGACAAUAUCAAACAGGUAGGGGGACAUGGUGUCAUGUUCAUAUGUGGUGAGAAACAGUACUAGCCAAAAGGUGGUGGUGUUUACUUCUUCCUGAGCAGUAACAGCAGUUUAGAUGUUAUCAUCACGAUCAUCAUGAUGUUUCUAGAGACAAUAUCUCUCUCUUCAUCACUCAAUACCUAGGUUUACCUCCACUGUAUUCACAUCCUACCUUACCUU